UACGUAGGGUGCAAGCGUUAAUCGGAAUUACUGGGCGUAAAGCGUGCGCAGGCGGUUGUGCAAGACAGAUGUGAAGAUCCCCGGGCUCAACCUGGGACCUGCAUUUGUGACUGCAUCGCUAGAGUACGGUAGAGGGGGAUGGAAUUCCGCGUGUAGCAGUGAAAUGCGUAGAUAUGCGGAGGAACACCGAUGGCGAAGGCAAUCCCCCUGGACCUGUACUGACGCUCAUGCACGAAAGCGUGGGGAGCAAACAGG
rnacentral:rRNA from 1 species